rnacentral:rRNA from 1 species
AUGGAUCUUUUUGUGAAGGAAUCUGGUUUGGCUGGCUCAGGCAUGAUAUUAAGAGACUCAAAUGGAGCAGUCAUUUCUCUGCAUAUAGUUACCUAUUUUUGCAAAGAUAAACUUGAGGCCGAGAUUAGUGCACUUUUUGAAGGAUUGUCUACAAGCAUGCAACGGUCAGAUUUACCCAUUGUUAUUCAAUCUUACACCUCCAUUGUAAUAUCUGCAGUGAGGGACAACUCGCUGGAUCAUUCCGCUUAUGGACAUGAUGCUGGAAAUCAAGAAGAUUCCAGAACCUCGUGUGUUUAUUCCAUAGAAAUUGAUCGUCAUCAGAGUAAAGUUACUUAUAAUCUAGCUAAUAUUGGUCGUACUGGAGGUAGCACUGCUUGUUGGUUGCACAAUGUUCCAGGCAGUGUUUCUAGCUUUGUAUUAGUAGACUAUAACACUAUUACUGAGGAAUAA